ensembl:lncRNA
AUUUGCUGUAGGGGCCAGGAAGAAACAAUCAAGCAUUGUCUUGUUCUGGAGUGGUGUGUCAGGGACUCCUCAAAUAAAUAUUAUUUGCCUAGAAGGGAAACUGGCUUGAAGACAGCUCACAGCUUUGAGAAGGAAGAUGGUGAUGCCAAACUGAUUUCAGCUUGUCAAAGAAAAAGAUGAUGGGAAGAAGCCUGCAGGAGAAGAGCGGGCAGUUUCCAUGAUGUCCCUAUUCUCAGCUUGCUACACCGGAGACUUUGGGGAACUUUGGACCAAGAUCAUAAUGAAGGCCUUUCCCCAUCUUUCAGUUAUCUAUGUGAAAUCCCUCUUGACAACUCAGAAAAAGCAAGGGUGCAGCCUGUUUGGCCAAGGGCUUCUCCACCACUGGUUCCUUCACUAGGGCUCGUCAGUGGCAUUUUGAUAUAUGCAUUCCUCAUCAGUAUCUGGGCUAUAUGUGAUCAACCAAGCAACCAAUCAUCAUUUCUUGAUCAAAUCUAUUGUUAACAUUGUAGAGGAAUAUAAAUUUAUAGGAUAUCACUCCCUUAAGAUU